rnacentral:rRNA from 1 species
GACGAACGCUGGCGGCGUGCUUAACACAUGCAAGUCGAACGAAGAGCGAUGGAAGCUUGCUUCUAUCAAUCUUAGUGGCGAACGGGUGGGUAACGCGUAAUCAACCUGCCCUUCAGAGGGGGACAACAGUUGGAAACGACUGCUAAUACCGCAUACGAUCCAAUCUCGGCAUCGAGGAUGGAUGAAAGGUGGCCUCUAUUUAUAAGCUAUCACUGAAGGAGGGGAUUGCGUCUGAUUAGCUAGUUGGAGGGGUAACGGCCCACCAAGGCGAUGAUCAGUAGCCGGUCUGAGAGGAUGAACGGCCACAUUGGGACUGAGACACGGCCCAGACUCCUACGGGAGGCAGCAGUGGGGAAUCUUCCGCAAUGGACGAAAGUCUGACGGAGCAACGCCGCGUGAGUGAUGACGGCCUUCGGGUUGUAAAGCUCUGUUAAUCGGGACGAAAGGUCCUCUUGCGAAUAGUUAGAGGAAUUGACGGUACCGGAAUAGAAAGCCACGGCUAACUACGUG